CACAGAGAGGCUUCAUCUUUCUUUCUCCGGUGAUGUGAUUGACCUUUCCGGUGGCUGACAUGGUUUAUGGGUGGACCGUGGUAAGAAGGUGAAUGUUGGCAUUCCCUUCCUGUUGGCUCGUACAGUCCCACAAGCUCCUGUGUCCAGGGACAGGAGGUGCUGUAACAGUGUGGGACUACUGCACCAGUUGUCCACGAACAGGAUGUCACCCUUAUUCAAGUAUGGGGCCAGUAAUGUCUUGACAACGGACCCAGAGAUUCCAAGGCCUUCAUAGUGCUGGAUGUCAGUGGGGGUCGUUGAUGACUGCCAUCGCAUUGUUGGAGAAGUGUAGGCAGCAGAGGAGCAGAAGGAAGCGGUCCUGGGAAAACAAAGCCCUGAAAAAUGGUGUCUGGAGCAUGGGGUCUGUACUCCAAUAAUCACGAAGUGGUGUUUUCUCCUGCAGCUCUGAGGCAUAGCGGUUUGUUUCCUCAACAGUUUCCUCAAUUAGUUCCUCAGUAAGGAACAUCUUAAAACAUUGGACUUCACUAGGGGAUUCUGGAGGUUUUUGCAUGCCGCGCAUCCGGUCAUCAAAAGCAACCCCAGGUCCAGGAGGGUUAAAAUUGCUGGUAGCAGGAAGAGCUUACCUCCUCCACCUCCCUUGGUGUUGUGUGUGCAGGCGUAGGAGCAGCAGCUGAGGCAUCUUCAUCCUCAGGGUCAAGGGCUUGGAGGUUGGGGGGUAUCUCCUCAUCUGUGUCACUUCCCUCAUUGUCAAGAUCUCCCUCCUCAUCAGAAUUAAAAAAAUAUUUCUCUGAUCUCCUCAUCCAUAAAUUGUUUUCUUUUUAAAGAAGACAUCUUUUUCUGUGGCAAUUGUGUAAAUAAAACUGUAAAUAAAUCAAAUUAACUCAAGUUGUGUGUGUAAAAUAGAUGACGAGCUCAGAUGCGAGUCUGAGGUAAAAGUGCCGUGCCAUGAUGUCACUUGUCACAAGAAGAAAGGGAAGACUAGUGAUAGGCUAAAGCCAUAGCCAUGUUUUUUUUUUUUUUAAUUGCAGUGCAGGCCUGUCUGAUAAUAUAUAUACACAGAUUCACAAAUAAAAAUAAUUAACAACUCAAUAUGUGUCAUGUGAAAUGUGAGUGUUUUUCUCACUGUCAUCAUAGAUACGAGUGUGUAGAUAUGUGCUGGAAACUUGUAUUCAAAUACUUCUGUUUAUUUGAAUACAAUAAAAAUAUCCUGUGGUUGAAAAGACUGUUCAAGCAGCUGUUUUAGACAUAAAUAACAAGCGUUUUGCCAGUCACUCUCUCUAUAGCAACGGCAGCUAUACAGCAGCGCGAAAGCAGAUUUGGUGAGUUUAUCAUCUAGUGUUGCUGCUGUUAUACACAGUGUGUGUAUAUGGACAGUAAACUUGUAUUCUGUGUUUGUUUGAAUGCAUGUAACAUAAAAUAAACAUUUCCUGUGGUUGAAAAGACUGUUCGAGCAGCUGUUUUAGACAUCUAAAUGACGUGCUUAGCCAGUCUCUUUCUAUGUAGCAGCUAAGC